rnacentral:lncRNA from 1 species
AUAAACCUCAAUACCCUGUCCGGCAUGAGGGUGAAGCGGGCCGUCCCCAUAUCCCGUCCAGUAUGAGCGCCAAAACAUUUAAAGUCUCCAUACCCCGUCCGAUAUGAGAGAUAACGUUCCCGGUAGGGUUCCCUAUAGAACCGGUCCGUCCACCAUCUCCCAGGAUAUCUAGUGAGAUUGUCGACUUAUCCAUUUAUCAAUUCACAUACAUUUUAUAUUCUUUUCUUAAUUUUCUGUUUCUCACAUAAUCAUGAAUAUUUAAAACAGUAACGAACAUACAACAAUGCAGGCAUAUCAUCGGAUUCACAAAAUCAAACAGUAGUAAACUAAACAGUGAUUCAUGCAUUCAAAAC